rfam:Triticum urartu cultivar G1812 contig579233, whole genome shotgun sequence.
AUCAAUGACUCGGGGUGCCAGACCAACCGUCCGGCUGAGAAAAACCCGCAUAACCUGAACUGGAUAAUGCCAGCGUAGGGAAGUCAGAUGCCCGACCG